rnacentral:misc_RNA from 1 species
AAGAAGAAGAAGAAGAAGAAACCGAGUGAAUAGGGAGCUGAGAUAGGACUUUAUUGGAUAAACUACCAUGAAUGUAUUAAAGAAAGCUGCUUCCCUCUUAAACAAUUCUCCAAGGUCAGUUACAGAACUCGUAACAGCUACCCCGCCAAACUGUAACAAACUAGCUAAGUAGCUAGUAACACUAACAACUACAGUUAAAUAUUAAAUAUUUAAUAAUAUUCCCAAUAAUGAACCUUGAGCUAAUCUCAGCUAAUUUCCUGACUUCACACAAUUUCACACCUAUAGAUCACCUAAACUGUAAAUUGCAAUACUCCUAAAGAAGCCGUUUGACCCAGGUGAUGUAAAUUUUCCAUUUCUUCAAAAGACAAAAUAAACGCCAACUCUGUUUCCAUUUUCUCAGCAAACAAACAGAGAAUAAGCCAAAAAAGGAAAAGAAUCAUCAUAGAGUACCCACAGACAACAAGAAGAUUCAACAAUCCAACCCUGGAGCAUAUUUAGCGAUAUUUACAAUUGCUCACAUACCAAAGAAGAACAAGACACAAGACUGAGCUUUCAUUUUACUUCACUUUCCUAGCAAUUAAACAGAACAAUAAAAAUU